rnacentral:rRNA from 1 species
UACGAAGGGGGCUAGCGUUGCUCGGAAUCACUGGGCGUAAAGGGUGCGUAGGCGGUCGGGUAAGUCUGAUGUGAAAUCUCACAGCUUAACUGUGAAACUGCAUUGGACACUAUUCGGCUAGAGAGUUGGAGGGGGGACUGGAAUUCUCGGUGUAGCAGUGAAAUGCGUAGAUAUCGUGAGGAACACCAGAGGCGAAGGCGGCUACCUGGACAAUUGCUGACGCUCAGGCACGAAAGCGUGGGGAGCAAAAGGG